rnacentral:lncRNA from 1 species
ACCUCGUUCCUUCAGAGAGGAUGCUGUCUGCCAUCAGAGUGACCUCGUUCCUUUAAACACCUCCUCUUGCAGCUCCACUGAAUUGUAAUUAGCCCACGUGUUCAUUUCCAGUUAGCAUAGCUAGUUCACGCUGUGGAGUAAUGACCAGAAUCUGUACUGAACAUCAUUACAAGCUGUGGACUAUUCUGGGGACUUGAACUAUACGCUAUUCUACCAGCAUACUGUAGGCCUACACUUUCCCCCCUCACAUAAACAUUCAAAACAAUAGCCUAUGGGCUCCUCUAAUCAGUGAACCUGUUUUCUAUCCGCGUUGUUACAUUUAAUUUAUCCCAUGUUGAAUUAAUUAUUACAAAAACACAAUAGGAAUCUGAACCUAAAUUGUACUUUGAGAAAAAAUAUGUUUAUGAUCUAAAAUAAUGAGUAAUUAAUGAUGUAUCCCGUGUAAAAUGGAGAGCCCUUGGUCUGUUCUAUGACUACCGUGUUACUGCAGAGAGAGAGAGAGCUGUGUGAGGUACAGACAGGGUUAUUGGAGUUUAAUGCAAGCGGAUGUCGGUUUAAUUGAUUGAAACAAAUUACCUCAGCAUGGAUCCCUGUUCUCAUGCUCAGGCCGAUGGACACGGCCCGAGGAGUGGAGAGGGGGGAGGGGAAACGAUUGGCUGCUCUGGGCCAUAGAGAGACCUGAGCCCCUGACACUGCCUGCUGGGAUAUAGACGGAUGAUACGAUGGUCCCACAUAGGGAUGUUUUUAGUGAGCUUCAGUUGAGUUAUAUCAUUCAAAAUGUCAGUCGUAAUUGCACUGGCAUGAGAAAUCUUCCUAUUUAUUUUUCUUAGAUUGUGCAGUCGGUGUCUUCUCUCUGAUCAAUGGUUUGAUCGGAUCAGACGUCUCACGGUCUCUCAUCACAGCCGUGUAAUGGAAGAUUGACUAAUUGACUGUAAUUAAAUAAUGGAGAGGUAACAAGGUUCAGCACUAUGGUCAUUCAAUAAUUACACUUUUGCUACUAUGAUGUCACCGAGUGUAGCCACAUUUCUGAUUGAUGUAAAAUCUCAUAUAUUCAGAGACAAUUUGCAGUCUUUCUCUGAGAACAUUAUGGAAUACUCAAUUUUUUUUAUCGACCAGGAUAUCUUAUCAAGGACUAUUUGAUUGACUGAUUGAGGGCUGUUAGUGUGACUGGCAAUGCAUUCUGGGAAAGGUCAUCCCUCUUCAGUCCGCACCGUAGACAAGACUCCACUGGUGCUGGGAGCAAUAGAAUAUCAAUGUCCAAGGUCUCACUACAGGAAGUCCAGCCUGGGUAAUGUGCACAUUACGGAAGACUAUACACUGACAACAAAUAUCUACUAAAUCGAUGGUGUGGUUGUUUGUGAUGUCAAUAGAGUACGCAUUCCCCUGUAACCCCAGGAAUGGGAGUUGUUUUAAAUCCUACAGAAAGAUAGAGCAGUGUUCUGUUUGAGCUAUCGAUCUGGAGGGCCAAUAGAGUACAGUAUAGUAGAAUAGAGUGGAAUAAAGUAGAAUAGAAUAUAGUAGAAUAAACUAUAAUAAAGUAGAAUAGAGUAGAGUAGAAUAGACUCUAAUAAAUUAGAAUAGAGUAGAGUAGUCAGAAUAUAGUAGAAUAGAGCAGAUUAGAAUAGAAUAGACUAGAAUAGAGUAGAGUAGAAAAGGAAGAGCAGAAUAGAGUAGAAUAGAGUAGAAUUGUGAGAAUAGAGUAGUAGAAACAGUAUAAAUAGUAGAAUAGAGUAGAGUAGAAUAGUGUGGAAUAGGGUAGAAUAGAGUAGAAUUGUGUUGAACAGAGUAGUAGAAAUAGUACAAAUAGUAGAAUAGAGUAGAGUAAAAAAGUGUAGAAUAGAGUAGAUUAGAGUAGAGUAUAAUAGUGUAGCGUAGCGUAGAGUAGAAUAAAGUAGAGUAGAGCAGAAUAGAGUAGAGUAGAGUAGAGUAGAGUAGAGUAGAAUAGAAUAUAGUAGAAUAGAAUGGAGCAGAAUAUAAUAUAAUAGAGUAGAAAAGAGUAGAGCAGAGUAGAAUAUAAUAUAGUAGAGUAGAAUAGAGUAGAAUAGAGUAGAAUAGAAUAGAGUAGAAUAUAAUAUAGUAGAAUAGAAUAGAGUAGAAUAGAGAAGAAGAGAGUAGAAUAUAAUAGAGUAGAGUAGAAUAGAAUAGAGUAGAAUAGAAUAGAGUAGUUUAGAAUAGAGUAAAGUAGAUUAGAAUAUAGUAGAAUGGAGUGGAAUAGAGUAUAGUAGAGCAGAAUAUAAUAGAGUAGAAUAGUGUAUAAUAGAGUAGAAUAGAGUAGUGCAGAAUAGAGUAGAAUAGAGUAGAGUAGAAUAGACUAGAAUAGAGUAGAAUAGAGCAGAAUAGAGUAGAGUAGAAUAGAUUAGAAUAGAAUAGAGUACAGUAGAAUAGAAUAGCGUAGAGUGGAGUAGAAUAUAGUAGAAUAGAGUAGAGUAGAAUAGAGUAGAGCAGAAUAGAGUAGAAUAUAAAAGAGCAGAGUAGAAUAUAAUAGAAUAGAGUAGAAUAUAGAAGAAUAUAGUGGAGUAGAAUAGAGUAGAAUAGAAAAUAGUAGAAUAGAGUAGAGUAGAAUUGAAUAGAAUAGAGUAGAGUAGAAUUGAAUAGAAUAGAGUAGAGUAGAAUAUAAUGGAAUAUAAUAGAGUAGAGUAGAAUAGAAUAAAAUAGAGUAGAGUAGAAUAUAAUAUAGUAGAGUAGAAUAUAGUAGAGUAGAAUAGAAUAGAGUAGAGUAGAAUAGAGUAGAGUAGGAGAGUAGAACAUAAAAGAGCAGAGUAGAAUAGAGUAGAAUAUAAUAGAAUAGAGUAGAAUAUAGAACAACAGAGUGGAGUAGAAUAGAGUAGAAUAGAGUAGAAUAGUGUAGAGUAGAGUAGAAUAGAUUAGAGUAGAAUAGAAUAGAUUAGAAUAUAGUAGAAUAGAGUAGAGUAGAGUAGAAUAGAAUAAAGUAGAGAAGAAUGGAAAAAAGUAGAGUAGAAUAGAGUAGAGCAGAGCAGAGUGGAGUAGAAUAGAGUAGAGCAGAGCAGAGUGGAAUAGAGUAGAGUAGAAUAAAGUUGAAUAGAGUAGAGUAGAAUAGAAUAGAAUAGAGUAGAAUGGAGUGGAAUAGAGUAGAGUAGAAUAGAGUGGAAUAGAGUAGAAUGGAGUGGAAUAGAGUAGAGUAGAAUGGAGUAGAAUAGAGUAGAGUAGAAUAGAAUGGAAUAGAGUAGAAUGGAGUGGAAUAGAGUAGAGUAGAAUGAAGUAGAAUAGAGUAGGGUAGAAUAGAAUAGAGUAGAAUGGAGUGGAAUAGAGUAGAGUAGAGUAGAGUAUAAUGGAGUGGAAUAGAGUAGAGUAGAGUAGAGUAGAAUGGAGUGGAAUAGAGUAGAGUAGAAUGGAGUAGAAUAGAGUAGAGUAGAAUAGAAUGGAAUAGAGUAGAAUGGAGUAGAAUAGAGUAGAAUAGAAUGGAGUAGAAUAGAGUAGAGUAGAGUAGAAUAGAGUAGAAUGGAGUGGAAUGGAGUAGAGUAGAGUAGAAUGGAGUGGAAUAGAGUAGAAUAGAGUAGAGUAGAAUGGUGUAGAAUCCUCUUGAGAGCCACAUCUGAGGCAUAAACACCAGGUAAUUAAAGAGAUGUCCUGUCUUGUCUGUGUUCUUGUGUUGAGAUGGCAUACAUUACCCAGUACACUGCUAUGGUUGCACUCAACUCUGGCACUCUCUCACAUGAUAUCACAUACCAAGUUCUGUGGUUGUAGAGUAGUGUAGUGUGGUGUGGUGUAUUGUAGUGUAGUGUAGUGUAGUGUAGUGUGGUGUGGUGUGGUGUGGUGUGGUGUGGUGUGGUGUGAUGUGGUGUAGUGUAGUGUAGUGUGGUGUGGUGUAGUGGUAUAGUGGUGUGGUGUGGUGUGCUGGUGUGCUGGUGUGGUGUGGUGGUGUGGUGUAGUGGUGUGGUGUGGUGUAGUGGUGUAGUGGUGUGGUGUAGUGGUGUAGUGGUGUAGUAGUGUGGUGUGGUGUGGUGUAGUGGUGUGGUGUAGUGGUGUGGUGGUGUGGUUUGGUGGUGUGGUGGUGUGGUGUAGUGGUGUGGUGUAGUAGUGUGGUGGUGUGGUGUGGUGUAGUGGUGUGGUGGUGUGGUGUGGUGGUGUGGUGUAGUGGUAUAGUGGUGUGGUGGUGUGGUGGUAAGGUGUGGUGGUGUAGUGGUGUGGUAUGGUGUAGUGGUGUGGUGGUGUGGUGUGGUGGUGUAGUGGUAUAGUGGUGUGGAGUAGUGGUGUAGUGGUGUAGUGGUGUGGUGUAGUAUAGUAUAGUGUAGUGUGGUGUGGUGGUGUGGUGUGGUGUGGUGUGGUGGUGUGGUGUAGUGGUGUGGUGUGGUGUAGUGAUGGUUUGGUGUGAUAUAGUGGUGUGGUGGUGUGGUGUAGUGGUGUGGUGUGGUGGUGUGGUGUAGUGGUGUGGUGUGGUGGUGUGGUGGUGUGGUGGUGUGGUGUAGUGGUGUAAUGGUGGUGCUGGUGUGGUGUAGUGGUGUGGUGGUGUGGUGUAGUGGUGUGGUGGUGUGGUGUAGUGGUGUGGUGGUGUGGUGUGGUGUAGUGGUGUGGUGUGGUGGUGUGGUGUAGUGGUGUGGUGUAGUGUGGUGUAGUGGUGUGGUGUAGUGUGGUGUAGUGUGGUGUAGUGUGGUGUAGUGUAGUGUGGUGUGGUGUAGUGUAGGGUAGUGUGGUGUAGUGUAGUGUGGUGUGGUGUAGUGCAGGAUAGGGUAGUGUAAGGGUGUAGUGUAGUGUAGUGUAGUGUAGGGGUGUAGUGUAGUGUAGGAUAGGGUAGUGUGGUGUAGUGUGGUGUGGUGUAGUGUAGGAUACGGUAGUGUGGUGUGGUGUAGUAUAGGAUAGGGUAGGUUGGUGUAGUGUGGUGUGGUGUGGUGUGGUGCAGUGUGGUGUGGUGUAGUGUAGGGGUGUGGUGUAGUUUAGUGUGGUGUGGUGUGGUGUGGUGUAGUGUAGUGUAGGGUUGUGGUGUAGUGUGGUGUGGUGUGAUGUGGUGCAGUGUAGUGUGGUGUAGUGUAGGGGUGUGGUGUAGUGUAGUGUGGUGUGGUGUAGUGUGAUGUGGUGUAGUGUAGGGGUGUGGUGUAGUGUAGUGUGGUGUAGUGUAGGGGUGUGGUGUAGUAUAGGAUAGGGUAGUGUGGUGUGGUGUGGUGUGGUGUAUGAUAGGGUAGUGUGGUGUGGUGUAGUGUGGUGUAGUAUAGGAUAGGGUAGUGUGGUGUGGUGUAGUAUAGGAUAGGGUAGUGUGGUGUGGUGUGGUGUAUGAUAGAGUAGUGUGGUGUGGUGUAGUGUGGUGUAGUAUAGGAUAGGGUAGUGUGGUGUGGUGUAGUAUAGGAUAGGGUAGUGUGGUGUGGUGUAGUGUGGUGUAGUAUAGGAUAGGGUAGUGUGGUGUGGUGUGGUGUAUGAUAGGGUAGUGUGGUGUAGUGUGGUGUAGUAUAGGAUAGGGUAGUGUGGUGUGGUGUGGUGUGGUGUAUGAUAGGGUAGUGUGGUGUAGUGUGGUGUAGUAUAGGAUAGGGUAGUGUGGUGUGGUGUAUGAUAGGGUAGUGUUGUGUGGUGUAGUGUGGUGUAGUAUAGUGUAGUGUGGUGUGGUGUAGUAUAGGAUAGGGUAGUGUAAGCCCUCACACAACACCAUGCUACAAACAGAUUAAAGCUACAACACAACAGCCCCCCUCCCCCCUCCCUCACCAGCCCCCAUUACACCUCUGGCCUUUGUUUCACCAGGUUACAUUCUACAGUCAGGUACGGUGCUGUAUUUUUGGUCGUAAUGUUCAAUUUUACACAGCACUUAACUGUAUCCUAUUUCCUCCCUACCCCCGUCUUGAGCCCCAGACAGCGUGGUCCCAUCGGACAGCCAGGCAGGCUGUGGUGUAUGGGGCUUGCAGGUGGUGCUGGUUUAGUGGGCCCCCCAGUCGGCUGGCUUUGGCUGUCUCAGCACGGUGCCGCAGUCAGCAUUGUUGCAUAUUUAAUGUCCUGAUGAGCGCUUCCACCUGCUGACACAGUCAAAGUGACAGAACAAUCCCCCCUCCCCUGAACCUCCAUGCCCGGUAUACCAUCAUCAAUCCAGCCCUGCCUCACCUCACCUCCGCACGAUCACUACAACUAACGUCGCCGCACCUCGACCCAUUCACUACUCUCCCUCUCUCUCUCCCUCUCUCUCUCCCUCUCUCUUCCUCUCUCUUUCUCUCUCUCUCCCGCUCUCUCCCUCUCUCUGUCUCUCUCUCUGUCUC